CGCAGAAGAACCUUACCUGGCCUUGACAUGUCCGGAAUCCUGCAGAGAUGCGGGAGUGAUUCGGGAAUCGGAACACAGGUGCUGCAUGCAGUCGUCAGCUCGUGUCGUGAGAUGUUGGGUUAAGUCCCGCAACGAGCGCAUCCGUUGUCCUUAGUGGCCAGCAUGUAAUGGUGGGAACUUUAAGGAGACGUACGGCGACAAACCGGAGGAAGGUGGGGAUGACAUCAUGUCAUCAUGGCCCUUACGGCCAGGGGCCACACGUACUACAAAGUCGGUACAGAGGGUUGGGAUACCGCGAGGUGGAGCCAAUCCCAGAAAGCCGAUCUCAGUCCGGAUCGGAGUAUGCAACACGACUCAGUGAAGUCGGAAUCGCUCGUAAUCGUGAAUCAGCAUUGUCGCGGUGAAUACGUUCCCGGACGUUGUACACACGG
rnacentral:rRNA from 1 species